UAUCAGCUUGUUGGUGAGGUAACGGCUCACCAAGGCGUCGACGGGUAGCCGGCCUGAGAGGGCGACCGGCCACACUGGGACUGAGAUACGGCCCAGACUCCUACGGGAGGCAGCAGUGGGGAAUAUUGCACAAUGGGCGAAAGCCUGAUGCAGCAACGCCGCGUGCGGGAUGACGGCCUUCGGGUUGUAAACCGCUUUCAGUAGGGACGAAGCGCAAGUGACGGUACCUACAGAAGAAGGACCGGCCAACUACGUGCCAGCAGCCGCGGUGAUACGUAGGGUCCGAGCGUUGCCCGGAAUUAUUGGGCGUAAAGAGCUUGUAGGCGGCUUGUCACGUCGGAAGUGAAAACUCGGAGCUCAACUCCGAGCCUGCUUCCGAUACGGGCUAGCUAGAGGAAGGUAGGGGAGAACGGAAUUCCGGGUGGAGCGGUGGAAUGCGCAGAUAUCCGGAGGAACACCGGUGGCGAAGGCGGUUCUCUGGACCUUUCCUGACGCUGAGAAGCGAAAGCGUGGGGAGCAAACAGGCUUAGAUACCCUGGUAGUCCACGCCGUAAACGGUGGGCACUAGGUGUGGGACUCAUUCCACGAGUUCCGUGCCGAAGCUAACGCAUUAAGUGCCCCGCCUGGGGAG
rnacentral:rRNA from 1 species